GUCACGCUCGGGCAGACUCUGGGAGAUACCGAGGGCCGGCAGAGGGGGCGCUGCGGAGGCCAAGCUCGCGCCGGCGUUUCCUACGCUCUUUUCUUACCCGCCGCCGGUUACUUCUCGGACUGGUUUUCCCUCAGCUUCCUCGCCCCUGCGUAACGGUGGGGAAGCGUCGGGAUGGGUUGAAUUGGAAGCAGCAGCAGCAACAGGAAGCGCCCUAUCGCGUUCCUCAGGGCGCAAUGGCGAACUUUUAUUCCCCCCCCCCUCGUUAAAAACGAGGAAGAAGCGACCUCCCCUCAUAUCAUAUACUACACAUCUCUCUCUCCCCACCCGCCUCGGCCCAGCUUCUCCUGUCCAAAUUGGAGCGAACUUGAGUCGCAGCAGCAGGCGAACGAGGGACUGGACGAGAGGAACAGAAAUUCUUCUUCACACGAGUCGCCAUUACCUUGCGGGAUCCGCGGCCCACUGGCUCCUGUGGCUUUAAAGAGAGAUGUGAGGGGGCGAGUUUAUUCACGACAACCAAGUUUCUUGGGAUUCAACUCUCCUCACCACAAUCCUACAAAAUUUAUACCAAGGGACAAUGAGCGGCCAACAAGUACCCUUCCAGCUGCUUGCCACCUGACCUCCCCACCUUUCCUUAGUGGCACUCAGAGGCCAAAUAUCUGGAAUCAUGCAGAGAAUUCCUCCAAAGAUUAUUUAUAUACAAAGAGAUUGUCAACUACGGAAAACGGUAAAUGCAAAGUUAGUAAUGGCAUUUUAAAACCCAAGUGAUACAAUAAAAUGUAUUUUUGACUUUGGCUAUAGUCUACAGGCUACUAAACCUAGCAUAUGUGAUUUACACUAACAUUUCGCUGACUGGGCAGUUUACCUCCUCUUACAUUGUACUGUGCCACCAUUUGGUUUGCUUUGUUAUUGGUUAGUUUUAUGCUUUUUCAUUUUCAUAACUGUACUUGUUUUAACUGUGACAUUUUGCAGCCCUUAAGUUGCAAAUAAUAAAUAAAAUAUAGAGAAUAAUCAUGUCACAGACUUUUAAUGGAACUGAGCUGGUUAAAAACACAACAGCAAAAACAGAUAAUUCUAAGUUAGCCCCAUCUAUUCCUAAUUGUUUUCCUCUGCAAAAGGGAAGGCCAUUGUUAAUUAGCUGAUAUAGUAACAGCAGCAACACAAAGUUUAAAAACCACACUUUUAAUUAGGCUUAAUGAAUGUGUGCAUUUCUCUCUACUAAACAAUAUCGGCAGGGAGUUCAGCAGUCAUGGAACAUACUGUCAGUCGUUUUGCAGUCCUAGAUGUGACAUUCAGGUUGCUGGAUAGGAAGCUGGAAUCCAGAAUGUCCAAGAUAAACAAAAACAUUUUAAGCAGGCACCAAAAAGAGUACUGUACAGCGAAGGCAACUCCCUGAGGUCAAUCAGCAGGGAGUUCCAAGGCUGCCAUACUAAAAGACCAGUUUAUUACAAGGGCAGAA